UCCCUGGUAGCCCAGUGGUUAGGACUCAGGGCUUUCACUGCCCUGGCCCAAGGUUCAAUCCCUGGUCAGGGAA
rnacentral:tRNA from 1 species